rnacentral:rRNA from 1 species
AUUGAACGCUGGCGGCAGGCCUAACACAUGCAAGUCGAGCGGAGCGGCGGACGGGUAAGUAAUGCCUAGGAAUCUGCCUGGUAGUGGGGGAUAACGUCCGGAAACGGGCGCUAAUACCGCAUACUAUCAGAUGAGCCUAGGUCGGAUUAGCGAGUUGGUGGGGUAACGGCCUACCAAGGAGACGAUCCGUAACUGGUCUGAGAGGAUGAUCAGUGAAACUGGAACGGAGACACGGUCCAGAUUCCUACGGGAGUCAGCAGUGGGGAAUAUUGGACAAUGGGCGAAAGCCUGUUCCAGCCAUGCCGCGUGUGUGAAGAAGGUCUUCGGAUUGUAAAGCACUUUAAGUUGGGAGGCGUUACCAACAGAAUAAGCACCGGCUAACUACGUGCCAGCAGCCGCGGUAAUUC